UGGCUCAGUGGUAGAGCACUUGGCUAGCAUACAUGAGGCUCUGGGCUCAAUCCCCAG
rnacentral:tRNA from 1 species